rnacentral:rRNA from 1 species
ACGAUGGAGAGUUUGAUCCUGGCUCAGGAUGAACGCUAGCGGCAGGCUUAACACAUGCAAGUCGAGGGGUAGAGGAAGCUUGCUUCCUUGAGACCGGCGCACGGGUGCGUAACGCGUAUACAAUUUGCCUUAUACUGAGGGAUAGCCCAGAGAAAUUUGGAUUAAUACCUCAUAGACUAUUUGAAUCGCAUGGUUUAAUUAGUAAAGAUUUAUCGGUAUAAGAUGAGUAUGCGUCCUAUUAGCUAGUUGGUACGGUAACG